rnacentral:rRNA from 1 species
GACGAACGCUGGCGGCGUGCUUAACACAUGCAAGUCGAACGAUGAUGCUGGAGCUUGCUCCAGUUGAUUAGUGGCGAACGGGUGAGUAACACGUGAGCAAUCUGCCCUUGACUCUGGGAUAGCUGCGGGAAACUGUAGCUAAUACCGGAUACUUUCACCGGAAGGCAUCUUUUGGUGAUGAAAGAAUUUCGGUCAGGGAUGAGCUCGCGGCCUAUCAGCUUGUUGGUGAGGUAACGGCUCACCAAGGCGACGACGGGUAACCGGCCUGAGAGGGUGACCGGUCACACUGGGACUGAGACACGGCCCAGACUCCUACGGGAGGCAGCAGUGGGGAAUAUUGCACAAUGGGCGCAAGCCUGAUGCAGCAACGCCGCGUGAGGGAUGAAGGCCUUCGGGUUGUAAACCUCCUUUAGCAGGGAAGAAGCGAAAGUGACGGUACCUGCAGAAAAAGCACCGGCUAACUACGUGCCAGCAGCCGCUGUAA